GAUGAACGCUGGCGGCGUGCCUAACACAUGCAAGUCGAGCGAAGCGCUUAAAUUAGAUUUCUUCGGAAUGACGAUUUUUGUGACUGAGCGGCGGACGGGUGAGUAACGCGUGGGUAACCUGCCUCAUACAGGGGGAUAACAGUUAGAAAUGACUGCUAAUACCGCAUAAGACCCCAGCUUCGCAUGAAGCGGUGGUAAAAACUCCGGUGGUAUGAGAUGGACCCGCGUCUGAUUAGCUAGUUGGUAAGGUAACGGCUUACCGAGGCGACGAUCAGUAGCCGACCUGAGAGGGUGACCGGCCACAUUGGGACUGAGACACGGCCCAGACUCCUACGGGAGGCAGCAGUGGGGAAUAUUGCACAAUGGGGGAAACCCUGAUGCAGCGACGCCGCGUGAAGGAUGAAGUAUUUCGGUAUGUAAACUUCUAUCAGCAGGGAAGAAAGUGACGGUACCUGACUAAGAAGCCCCGGCUAACUACGUG
rnacentral:rRNA from 1 species